GUAAAAAAAAUGCAAAGUAAACAGUGAUGUAAGACCAUUUAAGGGUCAGGACUAGAAAGAUUAGGAGUCAACAAAGGCUUUCCCAGGCCACUUAAAGCUUGCAUCCUGAACAGAGUCAUGUAGGCUAAGAGGAAAGAUUUAAAAAAGCUCUAAAAAGAGAAGACAGGUUUGUGUAGGGCUGGUGAUUGACAGGUGUGUGACUUGUUUGAGGCUCUGAGAGAAGACCAAGACCAGUGUGACUGGAGUACGGAAAGCUGGAACCUGAGGCUAGGGAUGUGAGCAGGGAUUGCAAUGACAGCCCUGUAAACUCUGUGAACUUUGUUUCACUUUAUUAUCAGAGCAAUAAAAACCCAAAGAUUUAAAAGAGAAGAGUGGCAUGCUCUGAUAUGAACUUUUUUUUUUUUUUUUUUUUUACUUACAUGAACAUUUUUUAAAGGUCGAUUUAGCAGUAGUGUGUGUAUGGGUUGAUUUGGAAGAUGGCAAGUGUGGCAACAGAUUUAACUAAGAAGGCCUUGUUCUGGUAAUAAGGAGGAUUUCACAGACCCAAGAGGAAUCACAUCAAGAAGGUUUGGUGACUGAUUAGCUAGGAAAUAUGAAUGAGGAAGUAGUGCUCAUGGUGACUCAGAGUUUUGUCAAUGAACAAAUGGAUAUUUGGUUGCACUUUGCCCAAUAUGAAGAUCCAAGAGAAGGUCCAAGCUUGAAUAUUCCACCAGUAUGGCUUCUCUUUCUGAUCCUGCAUGAAGUGGCCUCUGCUCACCUGUCUUCCUCACCUCUCAACAUUCUGUCCUCCAGCCUCCUCUGCUCAGUCUCCUCAGUUUCUCAACAUGGUGUACUUUCCAGUUUACCUGUGCCCAUCCUCAUGUUGUCCUGUCUGAGAUGUCUCCCUGAACCUGCUGAAGACUUCCUACCUAUCCUUCUACUUUAUCUCAAAUCCUUUUGGGAAGCUUUCUCCUUCUGCCUCCACCAAAUUGGCUACUCAAAUAUAAUUGUGUAUCUCUGCAUCGGAGCAGUUGUAUAGUACAAUGAUUUGCAUACCCAGCUCCUGCAAGAUUGAGCGCACAGGUUGAAUCUUUGUGUUCAAAAUCUACUUAGCCAUAUUCAUUCAUCUGUUUGAUAUGUUUCUCCAUUCUUGG
rnacentral:lncRNA from 1 species